AAGCAUUCUGUGUGCAGCUGUCGACGAGAAAACACGAACAUGUUGAACAUUAAAGGUGUUGUGUUCCUGAUGGUAAUGCUUGCAACAGCCACUUCGUUCAUGUUGAACAACAGAGCGGAACAGCUAGAGAAACGUAACUGCCUGAGAUAUUUGGAUAGUUGUGCUCAUACCAAAUUAAAAUGUUGCCAGGGAUAUAAAUGCAGUCUCUUCUUUCGGGAAAUGGCCUGGUGUGGUUAAUAGAAGUGGCCGCCAAAUGCAAAUGUGGUUGCAAUAUUCUGAUUUUUGGCAUCAAUCAAGAGCGCAAUCAACUUUAGUGUGUUGCAUUUUUUUUUUCUGGAAGGAUUUACUAAAAGAAAAAAUGUUUUGGGCUUUAUUAAAUAGUGAUUAAACUAAUAAA